rnacentral:rRNA from 1 species
AUUGAACGCUGGCGGCAGGCCUAACACAUGCAAGUCGAACGGUAACAGGAAGAAGCUUGCUUCUUUGCUGACGAGUGGCGGCCGGGUGAGUAAUGUCUGGGAAACUGCCUGAUGGAGGGGGAUAACUACUGGAAACGGUAGCUAAUACCGCAUAACGUCGCAAGACCAAAGAGGGGGACCUUCGGGCCUUUUGCCAUCGGAUGUGCCCAGAUGGGAUUAGCUAGUAGGUGGGGUAACGGCUCACCUAGGCGACGAUCCCUAGCUGGUCUGAGAGGAUGACCAGCCACACUGGAACUGAGACACGGUCCAGACUCCUACGGGAGGCAGCAGUGGGGAAUAUUGCACAAUGGGCGCAAGCCUGAUGCAGCCAUGCCGCGUGUAUGAAGAAGGCCUUCGGGUUGUAAAGUACUUUCAGCGGGGAGGAAGGGAGUAAAGUUAAUACCUUUGCUCAUUGACGUUACCCGCAGAAGAAGCACCGGCUAACUCCGUG